UACAGAGGGGGCAAGCGUUAUUCGGAAUUAUUGGGCGUAAAGGGCGCGUAGGCGGCUUGGUAAGUGGAUGGUGAAAUCCCUCGGCUUAACCGAGGAACUGCCGUCCAAACUGCUUCGCUUGAGACCGGGAGAGGUGAGUGGAAUUCCCAGUGUAGCGGUGAAAUGCGUAGAUAUUGGGAGGAACACCAGUGGCGAAGGCGGCUCACUGGACCGGUACUGACGCUGAUGCGCGAAAGCGUGGGGAGCAACCGGG
rnacentral:rRNA from 1 species